CACCUCUCAGGGUCACACCUGGAGAGUUUCCAGUACUCCACCUGUCUCGACUACAGGAGGAAGAGUCCAGCUGAGGCAUAUCCAUUCCAUUCCUAGCUUGGCCAGUGGCUAGCAAGUGGAAGGCGAUCUGCUACAAGU